GUGGUUAUAGCACGAGGGUUCCACCUCUUCCCAUUCCGAACAGAGAAGUUAAGCCUCGUCACGCCGAUGGUACUGCGUAACAGUGGGAGAGUAGGUAGCCGCCGUUU
rnacentral:rRNA from 1 species